CCUACGGGUGGCAGCAGUGAGGAAUAUUGGUCAAUGGACGAGAGUCUGAACCAGCCAAGUAGCGUGAAGGAUGACUGCCCUAUGGGUUGUAAACUUCGUUUAUAGGGGAAUAAAAUGUGCCACGUGUGGGAUUUUGUAUGUACCAUAUGAAUAAGGAUCGGCUAACUCCGUGCCAGCAGCCGCGGUAAUACGGAGGAUCCGAGCGUUAUCCGGAUUUAUUGGGUUUAAAGGGAGCGUAGGUGGAUUGUUAAGUCAGUUGUGAAAGUUUGCGGCUCAACCGUAAAAUUGCAGUUGAAACUGGCAGUCUUGAGUACAGUAGAGGUGGGCGGAAUUCGUGGUGUAGCGGUGAAAUGCUUAGAUAUCACGAAGAACUCCGAUUGCGAAGGCAGUUCACUGGACUGCAACUGACACUGAGGCUCGAAAGUGUGGGUAUCAAACAGGAUUAGAUACCCGGGUAGUC
rnacentral:rRNA from 1 species